rnacentral:rRNA from 1 species
GAUGAACGCUAGCGGCAGGCUUAAUACAUGCAAGUCGAGGGGUAACAUGGUAGCAAUACCGAUGACGACCGGCAAACGGGUGCGGAACACGUACAGAACCUUCCUUUAAGCGGGGAUAGCCCAUAGAAAUGUGGAUUAAUACCCCAUAGUAAUACUAGCUGGCAUCAGAUGGUAUUUAAAGNUUUAUCACUUAAAGAUGGCUGUGCGGCUGAUUAGGUAGUUGGUGUGGGAACGCCCACCAAGCCAGCGAUCAGUAACUGGUGUGAGAGCACGACCAGUCACACGGGCACUGAGACACGGGCCCGACUCCGUACGGGAGCAGCAGUAAGGAUAU